UGACCUUAAUCGGGCCUGGAGUUUUAUUUUAGAUGAAGUUCUGAACUAUAUAUUCACUAAUUUCAUUGCACAACUCUGGAGGUUUUCUGGUGUUUGAGUGUGAAUUGGGAAAAUCUCCGUCAUUCCAAUGAACUCCCCCUUCCUCUAAGUUGGUGAAUAAUAAUAUCCUUUACUUCUUUGUAUUUGAGGCUCCAUUAAGAUCUUCAACUCUGGACCUCAGACUCAGCAAACAUAUCCACUUCUCUUCCUGUCAGGCUCCGUGGAAAGUGUGCCUGGAAAAGAGGCUGCAGCUUUCACAGGCCACAGACAGACACUUGCUGACUACAGGAUUCCAUUAGCUUUCUCCUGUCAAUGACAGCCUGCUCUCCAAACAGGCCUGUGUUCCAGCUGAUAUCCUUCCUAUGUUGCUCACAAAACCAGGCCUGAUGUCGCCCACCAUGCCUGCAGGACGCCCUUGAUCUCAGAGACAUCACUUCUGGGUUCUUUUUAUAGAAGUCUAGAUUUCAUCUCCAUAGGAUCUGUCCAACGAGCCAAUAAAUUUAAUGAUUUUGAACUCUCCGUUUGUUCUCCUAGACGUAUGGCGCUUUUCCUGUUAUGCCUUCCUGAGACAGUUCGGACUUAGUCUCAUUGCUGGAUCAAGUGCCUGCAGUACCCACAGAGGUCAAAAGAGGGCAUCAGAUCCUCCGGAAAUGGAGUUACAGACUUGAGAGUGUCUGGAGUAAGUGCUAGGAAAGAAACUCAGGUCCUCUGUGAGAGAACCAAGUGCUCUUAAUCUCUGAGCCAUCUCCCAAGCCACUAUUUCAUUGAUUUAAAAACUGUAUUUUAAGAUAGCAUCAUGGAGCCCAGGUUGACUUCAAGUUCCCCUUACAGCCAAGAAUAACCAUUAAUUGUUGCUUCUCCUGCAUCUGCAUCCUGAAUGCCUAGUGUAUUGAUAGCAGACUAUUUCCUCUUUAAAUGAGUGCAUGAUGUCUCUCAGAGAAUCUAUGAAAUCCAUCACUAUACUUCAAACUGACUUACUGUGAUACAACUUAAUAAUGACUUUGCAGAAGCCUCAAUCACACAUCACAGCUGUGUUAGAGCACUGCUGCUCAAGAGCUUCACUGAAGAGCACGGAUGUGCAAGAUUUUACUCCCCAGUGCAAAACUAAGAAAGAGUAUGAGAAGCUUUGCUUUAUCUUUGCUGGAAAGACAACAUGCGACUCAGACUUUGGCUUCUACCAAAGUUAAAUGUUUAAGGUA